GGAGGAAAAGAAACUAACAAGGAUUCCCCUAGUAACGGCGAGUGAAGCGGGAAGAGCUCAAAUUUGUAAUCUGGCCCUUUCAGGGUCCGAGUUGUAAUCUCGAGAAGUGUUUUCCGCGCCGGACCGCAUACAAGUCUGUUGGAAUACAGCGUCAUAGUGGUGAGAGCCCCGUAAUUGAUGUGGAUGCCCGGUGCUUUGUGAUACACUUUCGAAGAGUCGAGUUGUUUGGGAAUGCAGCUCAAAUUGGGUGGUAAAUUCCAUCUAAAGCUAAAUAUUGGCGAGAGACCGAUAGCGAACAAGUACCGUGAGGGAAAGAUGAAAAGCACUUUGGAAAGAGAGUUAACAGUACGUGAAAUUGUUGGAAGGGAAACGCUUGAAGUCAGACUUGCUAUUCGGAAUUCAGCCGCAAGGUGUACUUUUCGAUUUGCAGGCCAGCAUCAGUUUUUGGGGGUGGAAAAGGGUGGAGAGAAGGUAGCAACCUUGGUUGUGUUAUAGCUCUUUACUGGAUUCAUCUUUGGGGACUGAGGAUCGCAGUGCGCAAUUUACUUUGCAAACCUUUCGAGGUUUUCGUACUUAGGAUGCUGGUGGAAUGGCUUUAAACGACCCG
rnacentral:rRNA from 1 species